CUUAUUUUCACAAAUAUUCACAAAGUGCUGUUUAGUGUCGGGCUGGUUCUGAGGAUCAGGGACACAGAGUGAGCAAACCAGAGGCCAGGUCCUCCAGAGUUUGGAUUCUAGGGAGGAGGCAGUGUCUGGCAAUAGACAAAUGGAUGGGACACAGUGUCCUGGGGAGAAUUACAGGAUUCAUGUCCAGAGCCACUGAAACAAAUGACCACAACCUAAUGGCCUGGAGAGGACACUUUUAUCAUGGAAGGGCUCUGGAGGUCAGAAGUCCAACAGGGUCUCUCUCACUGCUCCAAAGUCCAGGUGUCAGUCGGGCUGAUUCCUUCUGGCAGCUCUGGGGGUGUCUUCGUUGCUGUUUCUGGUCUCGAGGUGGCUGAGCUCCUUGGCUGAUGGCCUCUCCCUGUGGCUUCCAGGCCUCUUCCAGCUGCUGCCCCCCCAAGCCCUGCUUCCCCUGCCUCCCCUCUGCCACCAGCUCUCCUGUCUUCCUCCAUCCUCCUAAGCAUCCUGUGAUCACACUGCGCCCAAGGGACGGUCCAGGACCAUCUCCCAUCAAGCUCCUCAGCCUUUGUCACCACUGCAUGGUCCCUUUGGCCAUGGAAGGUGAGUUUCAGGGGCCUUUAUUCUACCAACCACAGUUAAAUGGAGAAACUCCAGGUAGGAAAGGAGUGAGCUGGGAAGGGAGACUUCCUGGAGGAGGCGACAUCUGAGUUAAGCAGUUAAGCAGGUGUUGGGGGAGGGCAACCCAGGAGAACAGUGAGGCCUGGAGGGGCUACGCUCACUUGGAACACCAGCAAGGACUGGGAGGGAGCAGAGGGAGUGACAGGGCCGCAACCCCACAGGGAGUUCCUAUGCCUCCCAGUCUUCCCUCCUUUCUCUCCUUCCUGCUCUCACUCCCAUCCCCUUCCUUCCUUCCUCUGCCCCUCCUCCCUUGCUUCCUUCCUGCCUCCCUUCCUUCCUUUCUUCCCUCUCUUCCUCCCUCCCUCCUUUUUGUUUUUUUCCCUUCAGUUGAUAUUUCUUUUUUUUCUUUUUUGAGAUGGAGUCUUGUUUCUUCGCCCAGGCUGGAGUGCAGUGACGAGAUCUCGGCUCACUGCAACUUCCUCCUCCCAGGUUCAAGCGAUUCUCCUGCCUCAGCCUCCUGAGUAGUUGGGAUUACAGGUGCCACCAUGCCUAGCUAAUUUUUGUAUUUUUAGUAGAGACGGAGUUUCACCGUGUUGGCCAGGCUGAGCUUGAACCCCUAACUUCAGGCGAUCCACCCGCCUCGGCCUCCCAAAGUGCUGGGAUUACAGGUGUGAGCUACUGCACUCAGUCUCAGUUGAUAUUUCUAAGAAUCUGCUUAGAGGGGACCAGCUGAUACUGGGGCCUGUCAGAGGGUGGAGGGUGGGAAGAGGAAGAGGAUCCGGAAGAAUAGUGGGUACCAGGCUAGGACCUGGGUGGUGAAAUCUGCACAACAAACCCCAAUGUCACGGGUUUACCUGCAUAACAAACCUGCACUUGUGCCCCUAAACUUAAAGGUUUGUUUUUGUUUUUUUUUCCAUUUUCACACUACUAAGACAUACCUGAGGAAGAAAAAAAAGUUUUUUUCUUUUCCUUUUUUUUUUUUAAAUGAGGGCUGGGCACGCUGGCUCAUGCCUGUAAUCUCAGCACUUUGGGAGGCCAAGUCGGGCAGAUCAUCUGAGGUCAGGAGUUCGAGACCAGCCUGGCCAACAUGGCAAAACCCCAUCUAUCUCUACUAAAAUCACAAAAAUCAGCCUGGCGUGUUGGUGGGCAUAAUCCCAUCUACUCGGGAGGCUGAGGCAGGAGAAUCGAUUGAAUCCGGGAGUCGAAGGUUGCAGUGAGCCUAGAUUAUUCCAUUGCACUCCAGCCUGGGUGACAGACUGACACUCUGUUUCAAAAAAAAAAAAAAAGCUGCGGGGGGGGGAAGCUUGUUGCCCAAAAGGGCUGCCAUGGCACCUAAAAAUGUGGCUUUCUCCUUCUGAGAGGGGCCGCCCGCCCCUGCCCACCAGUCGGCUGGCUGUGGCUGAGCUAACGCCUGCUUGACGACCUGAGCCAGCAUGCCGGUUGACCUUUCUGAAAUGGUCUCCUUGGAUCAUGGGCAGAGACGGUCUGAGGGGAGCCCGCCCGAGGGGUCCAGGCCGGCGCUCACAGGGCUGGGACCAGCUGCUUUUACACUGCUUUUCCACCUUUCUUAGCCACUGGCAGAAGAGGGAUUAUUGUUGCCUCUUACAGGUAAGGACACUGAGGGUCACAGGUAAGUCACUUCCAGCCAGGUGUAUGUGACCUCAGGUCCGGGAUCAGAUGGAGGCAAGCUGGGCAGGGCCUCCCACCUGCUCCCCUGGAGGCCCAUGAGCCUGGGUCCUGGGGCCCUGAUUCCUAUAAACCGGGGUUGAUUGUGGCGAACUCCUUUCACUGGCACCCCUGUCCCACCACAGGCAGCUGGGAGGCCUGGAGACAGGUGCAGAGCCUCUGGGUGCCUAUUCUUGCCCAGCCCGAGGCCUCAGGCCACAGGAGACCACCUAGAGCAGGAGCUGGGGGUGGGGCCCAGCCUGGGGCUGGCACAGCUGGGCCUGUGGAGGGGUGGAGGGGCCACUGGGGAAGGGACUUACCAGCAGCAGCUCUGCUGGGACCUGGGAGGUUCUCCUUGUUUCCAGUAACAAGUGGGGGUGGGGAGGUGGGGGAGUUGGGGGGUGGGAGGAGGAGGCUUCCCCCAGGUGCCAGCUGUGCCUGAAGACUGCAGGUCCCCUCCAUUGUCUUCUGUUCUCAGGUCAGCUCCUUAGUCCCCUCCCUUCCCCUCUCCUCUCCCCCAGAACCCCCCUCUCCCCCAUCCUCUCCCAGUCACUCCCAGGCUGACUCCUCCCCUGGAAGGGAAAGGAGAGCCAGGCUCACUCACCUGACCGGUCACAGUUGCUGGGAGGAGAAGCAGAGGCCAGUGGUGGCUCCAGCCAGGGUUGCCCAGUCGCCUGCCUCGCUCAGCCUGCUCCUACCCCUCCCACCCAGCCUGGCCACCGGCGCAGUCACUUUCCUCACCAGGCCUAAAGACCUCAGCUGACCUGCAACACCAGGUGGCCCAGCAGGGUCACCGAACUGGAAACUGACCCCGAGUUCUAUGACAUACUCAGGGAGCAUGGUUCUCAUUUCUCAGCCCGUGUCUGAAACCUGGGACAUGGCAGAGUGGGCAGGACUGUCCUCUGAGCUGGUCCCCCUUUCCCUCCUCCCCAUCUUCUCUCUCCCCAGAUCUAGGGCUCACUCUGAGGUGUGGGUGACACUUGCCCCCAACCCCAGCCUCUUCAGUGCAGGGAGCCAGGGACUGAACUGCGGAGGGUCUUUGGGCAGGCUCCUGGGACUUGGCAGAGGGCCUCCCUUUCCCAGGGGAGCGAAGCCUCUACACCCACCCCCACUGUGCUCAGACAUGUACCCUCAACCUGGCCUGGGGAGACUGGCACCAGGUGGAGCCGGUCCCCAAGGAGACCCAACCCCCAGGACAUCUGUUGCAGGGUCAGCUCUCAGGGGCCCAGGGCCAGUCCUCUCUGCACCCCACCUUCCCUGUUCAGUGUGGCUUGUAAGAGGUUACACACAGUACUAUGCAAAGCACAUGCAAACGAGGCCCCACUCCAACCAGUCACUCUCUCCAGGUGAGACCACUCAAGCCCUCUGGUCAUCAGCAGCAACAGCAGUGGCGCCUACGGCAGGCUGGACUCCAGGCCGGGCCUCGGGGCGUGAAGAAGAAGGUGCAAGUCAGACAGGGUCUCACUCUGUUGCCUAAGCUGGAGUGCAGUGGCAGGAUUUUGGCUUACUGCAGUCUCAACCUCCAGGGCUCAAGUGAUCCUCCCCGCUCAGCCUCCCAACUAGCUAGGACUACAGGUAUGUAUCACCAUGCCCCAGCUAAGUUUCAAAAAUAUUUCGUAGAGACAGGUUUUUCUGUGCUGCCCAGGCUGGUCUUGAAUUUCUGGGCUCAAGCAAUCCCCCUGUCUCAGCCUCCCGAAGAGCUGGUAUUGCAGGCGUGAGCCACUGUGCCUGGUCUGUCUGAGCCACUUUUAAAAGUAUAGGUUCUCUGGCUUCUCUCCAGUAGAGACCAAGCCACCUCCACAUCUAUGAUAAAGAGGUACAAGGGGCACUCUUGUGAUACAAAAAUGGCAAAUCUGGCCAGGCACAGUGGCUCACGCUGGUAAUCCCAGCACUUUGGGAGGUUGGGGUGGCAGAUCACUUGAGGUCAGGAGUUCGAGGCCAGCCUGGCCGACAUGGUGAAACCCCAUUGCUACUAAAAAUACAAAAAUUAACCAGGCAUAGUUGUGCAUGCCUGUAGUCCCAGCUACUCUGGAGGCUGAGGCAGGAGAAUCAUUUGAAUGAGGGAGGUGGAGGUUGCAGUGAGCUGAGAUCACGCACUGCACUCCAGACUGAGAGAUAGAAUGAGACUCUGUCUCAAAAAAAAAAAAAAAAAAAACAGGCACAGCUGUUUGUUUGUGCACUCAUUCCCUCACUCAUUACUGCAGUCCUGCCUGUGUGUGCCUCACCUCUCCAGCCAGAUCCUGCCCCCGCCCUGUGUGAAGGCACAGAGCCCCUGCCUGCGCACUACUUCCUUCUUCCCGGGCCACCUGCUUCUCCCCUCGUGCCUGAGAUUGAUGGCUGCAAGGCUUCUCCUACUCAUCAGCCUUCAGCCAGCUCUGUUCGUGGGGGGAGCCCUGGGCAGUGCCAGGCCGGACGGUGGCCUGUUUGGCUCCCUGAAAGCCUUGGGGCUUCCUCGGGGUCCCGGACAUGGGGUGCUGCUCUGAUUCCAGCCUUUGGGCUGGGCUGCUGCUGGCAAGUAUUCAGUUCUGCUGCUCAGAUGAGCGAAGGGACAGGAGGCAGGUGUCUAGGCGCAGCCGGGACCAGGGACUUUUUUUUUGAGACAGUUUCACUCUUGUUGGAGUGCAAUGGGGAGAUCUCAGCUCACUGCAAUCUCUGCCUCCUGGGUUCAAGUGAUUCUCCUGCCUCAGCCUCCAGAGUAGCUGGGAUUACAGGUGCCUGUCACCACACCUGGCUAAUUUUUGUAUUUUUUAGUAGAGGCGGGGUUUCACCAUGUUGGCCAGGCUGGUCUUGAACUCCUGACCUCAGGUGAUCCACCAGCCUCGGCCUCUCAAAGUCCUGGGAUUACAGCUGUGAGCUGCUGUGCCUGGCCAGGAUCAGGGACCGCUUAGGAUCCAGCUGCAGCCCAGGGCAGAAGCGUCCCCGCGGCUUUCUCCUGUGAGUUAAGUCAGGCCUUAGUGAGCAACUUCUGCUUCUGGGCCGCUAGAGGGAGACCUUCGCAGCCUCGCACUUGGUUGAAGACACCUGGCUAAGGGGCAUGAAUAUGUGUUGUGUGUGUGAGUGCUAGUGUGAGUGUGUUGUGUGAAUGUAAGUGUAAAAAUGUGUGUGUGCACGUGUGAUACUGUGUAUUGUGAGUGGCUGUGUUGUGUGUGUUGUGAGUGCAAGUGUGUGUGUUGUGUGUGUUUCAGUGUGAAUGCAUGUGAGUGUGUGUAGUGUGUGAGUGUGUGUGUUGUAUGUGUUUUGUAUAUGUUGUAUGAGUGUUUUGUGUAUUGUGUGUGAGUAUGAGUGAGUGUGUGUGUGUGUGUGUGUGUAUGUCCUUUCUGGGCAUGUCCGUGUGGGCGUGGGCAGUGGCCUGAGCCCUGCCCAUCCUGCCAGGUGGCCUGGCUUGCCAAGGUGGGGAAGACCUGAAGGCUGGGAGGUGAAGCGGGGGGCCGCAUGGGCAGGAAUAUAGCUACGAGGCUGUGGUGGCAUCCAUGGAGACGUUAUUGGGCCUUUUCUGUUCCUGCCACUGUUCUUUGCAUCCCGUGUAUAUUAUGAGAAACAGUUGUAUCAAAGGAGGGCCUGUGAAUCCAACACCCACUUUACAGAGGAAGAAACCUGAGGCUCAGGGAGGUGGAGUCACUUCCGGAGCUGGGACCUGGGCUCCACAGCACUAAGGAGCCCUGCCUCCUGGGACAAGCAGCCGCCUUGUGGCGUGGCCUGUGUGCCCAAGCCAGCCUGUGGGGCCUGGUGGGCUGGCUCUGGGUUCCAGCUCUGUCGCCUGCCUGCUGAGUGACCUCUGGCAAGUCCCUCCACCUCCCUGAGCCCCAUUUUCUCUUCUGUAAGAUGAGACUCACAACACCUACCUAUUUCUCUGGUUAUUUAGAGGUUUAACUGACACCACAUGCAGAGGGAGGCCAAUUCCAGGGCCUCAUCAGGAGCCUUGGCGUGCGGCCACAGGGCCUUUGUAUGUCCUGGGUGUGCGCCUAAGAUGUGAAUUAGAAAGAUAAGAUGCCCCCUCCCUGUGCUUCCCUUCCUCCCCUGCGGCAGGGCCAGCAUGUGAACUAUGGAGGCGCACCGGGCCCAUGCUCAGAGCACCCUGUGCUAGGUUGAAUGGUCUCUGUCACCAUUUCAAAAUUCCAAGCAGUUUAUAACAAGGAGCCUGAAUCUUCAUUUUGCAAUGGGCCUGCCACCAUCACAGCUGGACCUGCCCUGCAGCUGGAGCGCCGUGGCCCAAUCUCAGCUCACUGCAACCUCCACCUCCUGGGCUCAAGUGAGUUCCCUGCCUCAGCCUCCUGAGUAGCUGGGACUACAGGCGUGCACCACCACACCCGGCUAAUUUUUGUUUUUUUAGUAGAGACAGGAUUUCACCAUGUUGGCCAGGCUUGUCUUGAACUCCCGACCUCAGGUGGUCCACCCACUUCAGCCUCCCAAAGUUCAGGAAUUACAGGCAUGAGCUACUGUGCCUGGCUGCCCUGCAGUUUCUUUUUGUUUAUUUAAUUAAUUUAUUUUUUUAAGAGACGUUUUCACUCUGUUGGUCAGGCUGGUCUCAAACUCCUGACCUCAGGUGAUCCACCCGCCUCGACCUCCCAAAGGUCUGGGAUUACAGGUGUGAGCCACCGCGCCCGGCCUGUCCUGCAGUUUCUACUCCUGCCUUGUCCCCUGCAUCAUCUGCCCCCAGCAAGGAAGGAGCCUAAAGAGCAGCAGAGACGGCCCCUGGAGAUAGAGCGGGCUCAGCAUACCACUGACGCCCAUCACCAGGCACCUUCCUCAAAUUGGACAGCGGCCGCUCCUCUCCUGGCACACGCUCAGCUAGCCUCUAGGCUGCAGUCUGGAGUGCAGAGCCACAACCUCAGCUCACUGCAACCUCCACCUCCUGGGUUCAGGUGAUUCUCCUGCCUCAGCUUCCCGAGUAGCUGCAAUUAUAGGGAAGGCACGAUCCUUCACGCCCAGGUAAUUUUUUUAUUUUUAGUAGAGAUGGGGUUUCACCGUGUUGGCCAGGCUGGUAUCAAACUCCUGACCUCAGGUGAUCCACACCUAGGCCUCUCAAAGUGCUGGGAAUUCAGGUGUGAGCCACGGCAUCUGGCCAAGUAGUUCCCUUUCUGUUGCACUGGGACCUAGAGGCACAUGGCCUGGGCCUGCCCAAGGGUGUCUUGUGACCCUGAGGGAGAGCCUGCAGAGGACAGAGUCCUUCCCUAUGCGGAAGAGCCUGGCUGGGUGAGUGCUCCUCUGACAGAGCAGUGUCCCUGAGGGUCAGUCAUUCUCAAAUUCAAUAUGCCCCAAGUCCUGGUAUUCUGGGCUAUCACUGCCCAGGAAAACGCGCUCCAAACCCUGACCUUCAGGCCUGCUCCUUUUUGCUCAUCUCUGGAAUCCCUCGUGCAGAGGGUCUUCAGAUCCACACAAGCUCCUCCUGCUUGGCCCUAACCCAUCGCUCCAGGGGGCUGAGACACACACAGGUAAUUGCGUUUCAAGGGAAGGGCGUGAGAGGUCCCCAGGACACCCCAAGACCUGGAGGGCCAAUAAAUGGCCGUGAAUGGUGGUGAGUGAGGCAGGUGGCGAGUGUGACCAUGAAGAGUGGGCAGACUCCCCAGAAUACCGGAGGGGGCAAGCUGUGGUCUGGACGAAGGGUACACGCCAAGGCCAAUUGUGGUUGCUGGUGGGAUGCAGCUGGGAAACCAAGAGUGAGGACCCCAGACCCUGGCGGCUGCACUGCCUGGGGGCGUGCGGCAUGGCGGUGUGCUGCUCCUACCCUGGCCACAGCCGCUGACCGCAGGAAGGGGUCUCCUGCCUUAAAGCAGGGAGAAUAUCCCAGAGCUAAGGCCAGCCCUGCACCCUGGCCGGGAAUCCCAGAACACCCUCCCCCGAUCUUAGGUGCUGAGCAGCCCUGGUUGGUGACCCCUGGGUGGAGAGAGCACGGUCGGUCAUUUGCAAGAAAUCCAAGAAAGAUGUGUGGAGAGGUUGCUUCUCCCUGUGUUGCGACAUCUGCAAAGUGAAUGCUGCUUUGUGUCUCUGUUGUUGUUUUGAUGAUGAGGGGAACCUGAGUCAUGGCCUUUAUGAAUCUGAUUGUUUCUUUACAGUAGCAGCCUACGUUCUGGAAGAAGCCACAUGCUGAUUUGUAGGCGGCCUGGCCAGGUGCUUCGGAGGCUCCGACGGCAUCAAAGCCGUGAUUUUAGAUCCGUGCUCUGGAGGCACUUGUGUUAUUUAAGGGCGGGAUUCGUAACUGUCCCUGUGCUUAAGCGAGGUCCGGCGUCGUAUUGGGUCCCAGGCCUGUGACUACUCAUAGGAGGGGAGAACAGGGCCAGCGACUCCAACUCUCACAAGCCUGGAACUGCGGAGCGGGAACAUCCCCCACCUCGUGGGGCUGUGGGCCCCCAGGCCUUCCAGAACCCUCUCAUGGGGCACAUCAGGUCUGCUCGAGCUGCCUGACCAGGAGAGCAUCCUGUCCUUCCCUCCAGAAUUUCAGUCCACAGCCGUCUUCCUACUCACGUCUGGCCUCGGCAUUCCUGCCGGGCCCUCCCCUGGAAGCGCAGGAUGUUUUGUUCAGAAUCCUGAGCCCAGGGCCUUCCAGGUGGCAGUGAGAGAUCGGAUGUCCAGCCAGCUUGGGGGCUUCCCCAUCCUGCAAGUGUGGGGGCCUCCUUGCUGUAGCCAGGUCAGGUUGGCCCGAGGGAGACAGCAGGAUGGUUCCAGGAAGCCUGGGACUCUCCCCAGAUCAAUGCAGGGCCGGCCGGUCGCCAGCAGUUUGGGCCACAGCAUCAGAGCUGGGGUCAAGAGGUUUCUAGCUCUCUUGCAGCUCUCAGCCCUGUGUCCAAGCUGCUUCCUGCUGGGCAGUGACGUCCCUAGUCCAUUUCCCUCCCUCUUUCCUCCCCUGGCCUGAGCUCAGCCCAUGGAAGGAGGCCCGGUGUAUAGAAACCUUGAUCUGAACCUCUGAAGGAUGUCAGAGCAGCUUCUUCUCCAGGCCUAUGUGACUCAACAUAGGACGUGGGGCAGGCGGCUCCACCGCUGAGCCUCGGUUUCCUCAUCUGGAUGCUGCGGGUGGACAGCACCCAGUGCAGGGUCAGCCCGGGCUUACAUGAGACGGCAAUAUAGAAGCUUGGCUGAUCACAGCCCCCAACGCACCUUAAUCCCUUCCCAUUCCCCAGCUCCCCAGCUCUAAACUGAGGGAGCCAGUUAGGCUCUCCUGCAGUAGCAGGUGGUGAGACAGAAGCUUUGAGAGGCAGCAAAGAGCAAGGACUGUGCAGCAAUGAUGCAUGGCCCAGGUGGGUCUCCCUCCCUUCCUGUGCCACUUCUGCAGGGCCCAGUGCCCACAGGGUCCAGGGCCCCAUUUGGAGGGCUCCGUGGUGGAGGAAGCUGCUCCUCCUCCUUCCUAUGGCCCACUCCCUGUCCCAGAGGCCACUGGCCCUGCUUCACUGCCUGGUGGUGGGUGAGGAGGUCACUGUGAGAUGAGACACACUCCAAAGCUGGGUGGAGAAACCAGACUGGGAGCCGAGACUUUCUCCAGCCAGCUCACGCCCUGAAUACCACGAGAAGGAAGCUGGGGAUGGCCUCAUACUUGGAGCUUCUCCCACCUUGUCAACGCCCCCAGGCUUCCUUCCAGAGCCCUCUUCAAGCUCCUGCCACCUCUAUCCUCACUGCCAGCCCUUGUAUGGUGGCCAGUCUCCAAAAUGGCCCCAGAGAUCUUGUCUCUGGUAUUCAUGCCCUUUGGGAGCCCCUGCCGCAUGGAAUCAGGCAGAUUCACAUGACUUCUGCUCUGGCCAUAAAGCAUCGCCUCAUCCAUCUAGUCUGUGAGCUCAUGUACUCUGGGGGAAGCCAGUCACCAUUUCACGAGGAAGUUCAACGACCCCACAGAGAAGCUUGUGUAAAGAGGAACUGAGGCCUCCAGCCAACAGCUGCAUGAAUGAGCCACUUGAAAGCAGAUCCUUCAGCCCCAGUCAAGCCAUCAGAUGACUGCAGCCUCAACCACCGCCUCCCUGCAGCCUCAUGAGAGACUCCAAGCCAGAACCACCCAGCCAAACCACUCUGGAGUUCCUGGCCCACAGAAAUGGUGAGAGAUAAUAAAUGAUUGUUGCAAGUUUUGGGGUGAAUUGUAAUGUAGCCAAAGUCACCAGAAUACCUUGGGAAAUUGUACCUCAACUCAUUGAGAAAGACGUCCUGGAGUGUCUCCUCCCUGGAUCCCCAGCCCUCUGCAGGCUGCUGUGUUUGUUUUCUAUGCUGUGUAACACAUUAUCACAAACUUUGGAACGAAGACAGCAUGUACUUUACUAUAUCACAGUUUCUUCAGCUCAGAAGUCUGGAAACUGGCUGGGCAUGGUGGCUUAUGCCUGUAAUGCCAGCACUUUGGGAGGCCAAGGGAGGAGGAUUGCUUGAGACCAGGAGUUCAAGACCAGCCUGGGCAACAUGGUGAGACUCCACCUCAAAAAAAAAAAAAAAAACAGAAAAGAAAAAAUUAGCUGGGCAUGGUGGUGUGUGACUAGAGUCCCAGUUAGGAGGCUGAGGCCAGGGGAUCACUUGAGGCUAAGAGUUCAAGGCUGCAGUGAGCAGUGAUUGUGUCGUUGCACUCCAGCCUGAAUGACAGAGUGAGGCUCUCUUAAAAAAAUUAAAAAAGUAAAAAAAGAGCUGGGCACAGUGGCUCAUGCCUGUUAUCCCAGCACUUUGGGAGGCUGAGAUGGGUAAAUCACAAGGCCAGGAGUUCAAGACCAGCCUGAUCAACAUGAUAAAACCCUGUCUCUACUACAAAUAUAAAAAUUAGCCGGGUGUGGUAGCAUGUGCCUGUAAUCUCAGCUACUCAGGAGGCUGGAGCAGGAGAAUCACUUGAAUCUGGGAGGUGGAAGUUGCAGUGAGCCAAGAUCAUGCCAUUGCACUCCAGCCUGGCAACAGAGCGAGACUCUGUCUCAAAAAUUGGCUAGAAGGAACUGCCAGGCUUUGCUCACAUGCCCAGAGGAGCUCACCCAAGGGUGAUUGCUUGCAGUCACUUUCAGGUGUGUCUGCAGUUACCGAUGGGUUUUUUUUGAGACGGAGUUUCGCUCUUGUUACCCAGGCUGGAGUGCAAUGGCGCGAUCUCGGCUCACUGCAACCUCCGCCUCCUGGGUUCAGGCAAUUCUCCUGCCUCAGCCUCCCGAGUAGCUGGGAUUACAGGCACGCACCACCAUGCCCAGCUAAUUUUUUGUAUUUUUAGUAGAGACGGGGUUUCACCAUGUUGACCAGGAUGGGCUCGAUCUCUUGACCUCGUGAUCCACCCGCCUCGGCCUCCCAAAGUGCUGGGAUUACAGGCUUGAGCCACCGCGCCCGGCCUCCUAGGGAUUUUAUUCUUUGUAGCAAUUGUGAAUGGGAGUCACUCAUGAUUUGUCUGUUUGUCUGUUAUUGCUGUAUAGGAAUGCUUGUGAUUUUUGCACAUUGAUUUUGUAUCCUGAGACUUUGCUGAAGUUGCUUAUCAGUUUAAGGAGAUUUGGGGCUGAGACAAUGGGGUUUUCUAAAUAUACAAUUAUGUCGUCUGCAAACAGACAAUUUGACUUCCUCUCUUCCUGUCUGAAUACCCCUUAUUUCUUUCUCUUGCCCGAUUACCCUGGCCAGAACUUCCAAUACUAUGUGGAAUAGGAGUGGUGAGAGAGGGCAUCCUUGUCUUGUGCCAGUUUUCAAAGGGAGUGCUUCCAGUUUUUGCCCAUUCAGUAUUAUAUUGGCUGUGGGUUUGUCAUAAAUAGCUCUUGCUAUUUUGAGAUAUGUUCCAUCAAUACCUAGUUUAUUGAGAGUUUUUAGCAUAAGGGGUGUCGAAUUUUAUCAAAGGCCUUUUCUGCAUCUAUUAAGAUAAUCACGUGGUUUUGUCUUUGGUUCUGUUUAUGUGAUGGGUUACGUUUAUUCAUUUGUGUAUGUUGAACCAGCCUUGCAUCCCAGGGAUGAAGCUGACUUGAUCGUGGAGGAUAAGCUUUUUGACGUGCUGCUGGAUUCAGUUUGCCAGUAUUUUAUUGAGGAUUUUCUUUUUUUUUUUUUUUUUU